UAAAAAUUAAAAAUGCGGAAGAAAACCCAAGGGUGAAUGUGAUCGAUUUUCAUUCCAAUCUUGCGUCGGAAGAAACAAAAGAACCUUCAAUUCAAUCAACGUUACACUCAAUAUUACAGUUACGAAGCACAUUGAGUCAGAGAGAGAGAGAGAGAAAAAUAACCACAUUACUCUUUUUCUACGUUUCGUUUCAGUUGCAUUGCAUUGCACCUUUGCGAUCAUUUUCCCAAUUACUGUAUGUGUGA